rnacentral:tRNA from 2 species
GGAGAGUUGGCUGAGUGGUCGAAGGCGCACGACUGGAAAUCGUGUAUACCCGUGAAGGGUAUCUAGGGUUCAAAUCCCUAACUCUCCGCCA